rnacentral:rRNA from 1 species
AGUGAACGCUGGCGGUAGGCCUAACACAUGCAAGUCGAACGGCAGCACAGUAAGAGCUUGCUCUUACGGGUGGCGAGUGGCGGACGGGUGAGGAAUACAUCGGAAUCUACUUUUUCGUGGGGGAUAACGUAGGGAAACUUACGCUCAUACCGCAUACGACCUACGGGUGAAAGCAGGGGAUCUUCGGACCUUGCGCGAUUGAAUGAGCCGAUGUCGGAUUAGCUAGUUGGCGGGGUAAAGGCCCACCAAGGCGACGAUCCGUAGCUGGUCUGAGAGGAUGAUCAGCCACACUGGAACGGAGACACGGUCCAGACUCCUACGGGAGGCAGCAGUGGGGAAUAUUGGACAAUGGGCGCAAGCCUGAUCCAGCCAUACCGCGUGUGUGAAGAAGGCCUUCGGGUUGUAAAGCCCUUUUGUUGGGAAAGAAAAGCAGCAGGUUAAUACCCCGCUGUUCUGACGGUACCCAAAGAAUAAGCACCGGCUAACUUCGUG